GAUGAACGCUGGCGGCGUGCCUAAUACAUGCAAGUCGAGCGAACGGACGAGAAGCUUGCUUUUCUGAUGUUAGCGGCGGACGGGUGAGUAACACGUGGAUAACCUACCUAUAAGACUGGGAUAACUUCGGGAAACCGGAGCUAAUACCGGAUAAUAUUUUGAACCGCAUGGUUCAAAAGUGAAAGACGGUCUUGCUGUCACUUAUAGAUGGAUCCGCGCUGCAUUAGCUAGUUGGUAAGGUAACGGCUUACCAAGGCAACGAUGCAUAGCCGACCUGAGAGGGUGAUCGGCCACACUGGAACUGAGACACGGUCCAGACUCCUACGGGAGGCAGCAGUAGGGAAUCUUCCGCAAUGGGCGAAAGCCUGACGGAGCAACGCCGCGUGAGUGAUGAAGGUCUGCGGAUCGUAAAACUCUGUUAUUAGGGAAGAACAUAUGUGUAAGUAACUGUGCACAUCUUGACGGUACCUAAUCAGAAAGCCACGGCUAACUAC
rnacentral:rRNA from 1 species